GAUGAACGCUGGCGGCGUGCCUAAUACAUGCAAGUCGAGCGAACAGACGAGGAGCUUGGUCCUCUGACGUUAGAGGCGGACGGGUGAGUAACACGUGGAUAAAUUACCUAUAAGACUGGGAUUACUUCGGGAAACCGGGGCUAAAUCCGGAUAAUAUAUUAAACCGGAUGGUUCAAUAGUGAAAGACGGUUUUGCUGUCACUUAUAGAUUGACCCGCGCCGCAUUAGCUAGUUGGUAGGGUAACGGCUUACCAAGGCAACGAUGCGUAGCCGACCUGAGAGGGUGAUCGGCCACACUGGAACUGAGACACGGUCCAGACUCCUACGGGAGGCAGCAGUAGGGAAUCUUCCGCAAUGGGCGAAAGCCUGACGGAGCAACGCCGCGUGAGUGAUGAAGGUCUUCGGAUCGUAAAACUCUGUUAUUAGGGAAGAACAAAUGUGUAAGUAACUAUGCACGUCAUGACGGUACCUAAACAAAAAGCCACGGCUAACUACGUG
rnacentral:rRNA from 1 species